rnacentral:lncRNA from 1 species
AGCCAGUUGUUUCAAAGACCAUCAAGGGUUACCCCUGGAAAAAUCACCAUCGAUUUGGAUAUACACAUUGCAGUACAUAAAUGCAGCGCUUUCUGAUUUCGCCCUGCACGAAUUUGGAAACCACUGCUUGUGCACUAGAGUUCCCUGCAGGUGAGGGAGUUUAUUUGAGAAAGGAGCUGGGGAACAGCGGCUCUGCCCUAAAGAUGAGUCUCAGAGGUUUUGCGGGGUUGAGCAGAAGAGAAACAAGUUUCGGGAUGCGUCAAACCGAGAUCCGAGGUUGCAGCCCCCACCCCCCCCCCCUUUCCGGGGUUCCGUUCGAGUGGUUUGCACAGCAAGGAUGAAAGUAGCCACACAUCACAGAACGUGGUACGAGGACUCACAGGAACUGUUCCAGGAAAUGACCCUCCGAUCUCCGGAACACCAAGAUAUUUGCAAACGAACCGGGAUACUCACUGCUGAGGGGGUGGGAGAGGGGGGGAGAGGAGGACGCGGAGAAGAGACAGGGUUGAGACCGGGGGAGGACACCGGCUCCCGAGACUUCUGCUUACGGACCCCGCCGCUGGAUGAGUCUCGGGCUGGGCCAUCCCGCCUCCCCGUCUGACCCUGCGCGGCCGCACCCCACUUGCCCACCGGGUAACGGUUUCUGGACCCGCAGCCUGCG